rnacentral:lncRNA from 1 species
GUGCUUUCCACAUAGCCCUGCAUGACCUGGUGUGCCUCCUCUGGACAAUGUGUGGCAUUGCCUGGUUAUUGCAGAUUCAGCUGAUGGGCCCCCGUUGAUUUGUUAUCCUGCCUGAAAAAUGAAAACAUGAGCUCAG